CCUACGGGAGGCUGCAGUGAGGAAUAUUGGUCAAUGGGCGCGAGCCUGAACCAGCCAAGUCGCGUGAGGGAGGACGGCCCUACGGGUUGUAAACCUCUUUUGCCGGGGAGCAACGGGCGUCACGUGUGGCGCCACUGAGAGUACCCGGAGAAAAAGCAUCGGCUAACUCCGUGCCAGCAGCCGCGGUAAUACGGGGGAUGCGAGGGUUAUCCGGAUUUAUUGGGUUAAAGGGGUGCGUAGGCGGCUCGUUAAGUCAGUGGUCAAAUUGAGGGGCUCAACCCCUUCCCGCCAUUGAAACUGGCGUUCUUGAGUGGAAGAGAGGUAUGCGGAAUGCGUGGUGUAGCGGUGAAAUGCAUAGAUAUCACGCAGAACCCCGAUUGCGAAGGCAGCAUGCCGGCUUCCGACUGACGCUGAAGCACGAAAGCGUGGGGAUCGAACAGGAUUAGAUACCCGAGUAGAC
rnacentral:rRNA from 1 species